ACGKCUCAGUAACACGUGGACAAUCUAACCUACGGAGGGGGAUAACCCCGGGAAACUGGGGAUAAUACCCCAUAGACUAUGAAUGCUGGAAUGCUUUGUAGUCGAAAGGUCCGCCGCCGUAGGAUGGGUCUGCGGCCGAUUAGGUUGUUGUUGGGGUAACGGCCCAACAAGCCUGUAAUCGGUACGGGCUGUGGGAGCAAGAGCCCGGAGAUGGAUUCUGAGACACGAAUCCAGGCCCUACGGGGCGCAGCAGGCGCGAAAACUUUGCAAUGCGGGAAACCGUGACAGGGGAACUCCGAGUGCCCGUUAAAUCGGGCUGUCCAUCGGUUUAAAUAACCGGUGAAGAAAGGGCCGGGCAAGACCGGUGCCAGCCGCCGCGGUAAUACCGGCGGCUCGAGUGGUGGCCACUAUUACUGGGCUUAAAGCGUUCGUAGCUGGUUUGUUAAGUCUCUGGGGAAAUCUUCCGGCUUAACCGGAAGGCGUCUCAGGGAUACUGGCAGACUAGGGACCGGGAGAGGUGAGGGGUACUCCAGGGGUAGGAGUGAAAUCCUGUAAUCCUUGGGGGACCACCUGUGGCGAAGGCGCCUCACCAGAACGGCUCCGACAGUGAGGGACGAAAGCUGGGGGAGCAAACCGGAUUAGAUACCCGGGUAGUCCCAGCUGUAAACGAUGCGCGUUAGGUGUAUCGGUGACCACGAGUCACCGAGGUGCCGAAGAGAAAUCGUGAAACGUGCCGCCUGGGAAGUACGGUCGCAAGGCUGAAACUUAAAGGAAUUGGCGGGGGAG
rnacentral:rRNA from 1 species